GAUGAACGCUGGCGGCGUGCCUAAUACAUGCAAGUCGAGCGAACAGACGAGGAGCUUGCUCCUCUUACGUUAGCGGCGGACGGGUGAGUAACACGUGGAUAACCUACCUAUAAGACUGGGAUAACUUCGGGAAACCGGAGCUAAUACCGGAUAAUAUAUUGAACCGCAUGGUUCAAUAGUGAAAGACGGUUUUGCUGUCACUUAUAGAUGGAUCCGCGCCGCAUUAGCUAGUUGGUAAGGUAACGGCUUACCAAGGCGACGAUGCGUAGCCGACCUGAGAGGGUGAUCGGCCACACUGGAACUGAGACACGGUCCAGACUCCUACGGGAGGCAGCAGUAGGGAAUCUUCCGCAAUGGGCGAAAGCCUGACGGAGCAACGCCGCGUGAGUGAUGAAGGUCUUCGGAUCGUAAAACUCUGUUAUUAGGGAAGAACAAAUGUGUAAGUAACUAUGCACGUCUUGACGGUACCUAAUCAGAAAGCCGCGGCUAACUACGUG
rnacentral:rRNA from 1 species